GAACGAGAAAGUGGAGCAAUCCAUGAGUACAGUGGCGUACGGGUGAGUAACACGUGACUAACCUACCCUCGAGUGGGGAAUAACCUCGGGAAACCGGGGCUAAUACCGCAUAACAUCUACGGAUCAAAUGCGUAAGCAGCUUGAGGAGGGGGUCGCGGCUGAUUAGCUAGUUGGCGGGGUAAUGGCCCACCAAGGCAGUGAUCAGUAGCCGGCUUGAGAGGGCGCACGGCCACACUGGAACUGAAACACGGUCCAGACUCCUACGGGAGGCAGCAGUGGGGAAUUUUGCGCAAUGGGGGAAACCCUGACGCAGCAACGCCGCGUGGAGGAUGAAGCCCCUUGGGGUGUAAACUCCUUUCGAUCGGGACGAUUAUGACGGUACCGGAUGAAGAAGCACCGGCUAACUCUGUG
rnacentral:rRNA from 1 species